GAUCAUGGCUCAGGACGAACGCUGGCGGCGUGCCUAAUACAUGCAAGUCGAACGCUUCUUUUUCCAUCGGAGCUUGCUCCACCGGAAAAAGAGGAGUGGCGAACGGGUGAGUAACACGUGGGUAACCUGCCCAUCAGAAGGGGAUAACACUUGGAAACAGGUGCUAAUACCGUAUAACAAUCGAAACCGCAUGGUUUUGAUUUGAAAGGCGCUUUCGGUGUCGCUGAUGGAUGGACCCGCCGGUGCAUUAG
rnacentral:rRNA from 1 species